rnacentral:rRNA from 1 species
GGACUGAGAUACGGCCCAGACUCCUACGGGAGGCAGCAGUGGGGAAUAUUGCACAAUGGGCGCAAGCCUGAUGCAGCGACGCCGCGUGCGGGAUGACGGCCUUCGGGUUGUAAACCGCUUUUGACUGGGAGCAAGCCCUUCGGGGUGAGUGUACCUUUCGAAUAAGCACCGGCUAACUACGUGCCAGCAGCCGCGGUAAUACGUAGGGUGCAAGCGUUAUCCGGAAUUAUUGGGCGUAAAGGGCUCGUAGGCGGUUCGUCGCGUCCGGUGUGAAAGUCCAUCGCUUAACGGUGGAUCCGCGCCGGGUACGGGCGGGCUUGAGUGCGGUAGGGGAGACUGGAAUUCCCGGUGUAACAGUGGAAUGUGUAGAUAUCGGGAAGAACACCAAUGGCGAAGGCAGGUCUCUGGGCCGUCACUGACGCUGAGGAGCGAAAGCGUGGGGAGCGAACAGGAUUAGAUACCCUGGUAGUCCACGCCGUAAACGGUGGAUGCUGGAUGUGGGGACCAUUCCACGGUCUCCGUGUCAGAGCCAACGCGUUAAGCAUCCCGCCUGGGGAGUACGGCCGCAAGGCUAAAACUCAAAGAAAUUGACGGGGGCCCGCACAAGCGGCGGAGCAUGCGGAUUAAUUCGAUGCAACGCGAAGAACCUUACCUGGGCUUGACAUGUUCCCGACAGCCGUAGAGAUACGGUCUCCCUUCGGGGCGGGUUCACAGGUGGUGCAUGGUCGUCGUCAGCUCGUGUCGUGAGAUGUUGGGUUAAGUCCCGCAACGAGCGCAACCCUCGCCCUGUGUUGCCAGCACGUCGUGGUGGGAGCUCACGGGGGACCGCCGGGGUCAACUCGGAGGAAGGUGGGGAUGACGUCAGAUCAUCAUGCCCCUUACGUCCAGGGCUUCACGCAUGCUACAAUGGCCGGUACAACGGGAUGCGACCUCGUGAGGGGGAGCGGAUCCCUUAAAACCGGUCUCAGUUCGGAUUGGAGUCUGCAACCCGACUCCAUGAAGGCGGAGUCGCUAGUAAUCGCGGAUCGGCAACGCCGCGGUGAAUGCGUUCCCGGGCCUUGUACACACCGCCCGUCAAGUCAUGAAAGUGGGUAGCACCCGAAGCCGGUGGCCCAACCUUUUGGGGGGAGCCGUCUAAGGUGAGACUCGUGAUUGGGACUAAGUCGUAACAAGGUAGCCGUACCGGAAGGUGCGGCUG